CCUACGGGUGGCAGCAGUGGGGAAUAUUGGACAAUGGGCGAAAGCCUGAUCCAGCCAUGCCGCGUGUGUGAAGAAGGCCUUCGGGUUGUAAAGCACUUUCAGUGGGGAAGAAAGCCUUGGGGCAAUACCCUCGAGGAAGGACAUCACCCACAGAAGAAGCACCGGCUAACUCCGUGCCAGCAGCCGCGGUAAUACGGAGGGUGCGAGCGUUAAUCGGAAUUACUGGGCGUAAAGCGCGCGUAGGCGGUCUGAUAAGCCGGUUGUGAAAGCCCCGGGCUCAACCUGGGAACGGCAUCCGGAACUGUCGGGCUAGAGUGCAGGAGAGGAAGGUAGAAUUCCCGGUGUAGCGGUGAAAUGCGUAGAGAUCGGGAGGAAUACCAGUGGCGAAGGCGGCCUUCUGGACUGACACUGACGCUGAGGUGCGAAAGCGUGGGUAGCAAACAGGAUUAGAUACCCCAGUAGUC
rnacentral:rRNA from 1 species